UCUCUGCAGGUCCAUUGGUUAGGACUUUGUGCUUCCACUGCAAGGGCCACAGGUUCAAUUCCUGGUCGGGGAA
rnacentral:tRNA from 1 species